GCUGGGCGAUGUGGCACGUGCCUGUAGUCCCAGCUACUUGGGAGGCUGAGGUGGGAGGAUCGCUUGAGCCUAGGAGUUCUAGGCUUGAGUGUGCUAUGCUGAUUGGGUGUCUGCACUAAGUUUGGCAUCAAUAUGGUGACUUCCCGGGAGCGGGGGAUCACCAGGUUGCCUAAGGAAGGGUGAACCCACCCAGGUCGGAAAUGGAGCACGUCAAAACUCCCGUGCUGAUCAGUAGUGGGAUCUCGCCUAUGAAUAGCCACUGCACUCCAGCCUGGGCAACAUAGCAAGACCCCAUCUCU
rnacentral:SRP_RNA from 1 species